UUUCACUUUCAUACAUAAGAGAACAAGAAAUAAUAAUUUUCAUUUCUUAUUUGCUAACUAGUACCCUUAAGAGUCCAUAGGGGUGUCCCCCCUACUUGUGAACCCAAUAUCCAAUUUUACAAUUAACAGGUCGUCCAAAUACCCCAUCUGAUAAUGGGUGUCGUACAUUUCAUCAUCUCGAUACCCCCUCCAGUAUGAGGGUGAACCAUAUCACCCAAACCUUUAUGGUAAGGGACUUUCCAACCCCGUCCGACUGACGUAACGUUCACGGUAGGGUUCUCUAUGUAUCAGACUCAUCUGCCCUUUCCCUAGAUCGGUGUUUUGAGAUGUCGAGCUGUUUACUACGCCUCUUAACGGGUAUCAGGUUCCCUAAAUUUUUCUGUGCAAUUCAAAACACUUGUCAUAUAUCUAAAAAUAUUCGAAAAAUAUAAAAUUGGUGUCAAAAAUUCAUUACGACAAAUUUUGGAGUUUCGACGCCGGGUCCACCACCGUGCCUCAGCGUGACUGAUUUGGCCGAUUUUGAUUGUAUCCCUACAGAAAUUACGUCUAGGGCCUCGGUUGGCUGAAAAAUCAUAAAAAAAA